UUUAACCACAACACUGUGUACCACCCUGGGACUCGAACCACCGCACGGUCUCCCAUCCACUGUACUGCUGAGACCCUCCUGCUCAGUGGCGUAGCUAUAGAUGUCACAACGGUCGCCAUGGCGACCGGGCCCCUAUGCCAGGUGGACCUUCCCUGGUAAUUCUGCUUCCCGGGAGACCCCCUUCUCUGGUGGCACUGAAGGGGGACCUCAUUUAGUCCGGUCCCGGCCCCAAGUAACGUUGGCUGGGGGAAGGGACACUGCAGCUUUAAGAGCAGCAGACGUCGGAAUCCCGCCGCGGUCUAGAGAUGCUGCAUCCUCCCUGCAAGAUGAUGAGGAGGAGGAGGCUGGAAAUCAAUGACAGAGGGUCAGAGAUGGAUGGGACUAUCUAUUAAGAGGUUAAGAAGGCUUCUAACUUCUUAUUCCUGGUGUUAUCUACUUUGGAUUCCAUGGACUACAUCGAUGACAAGCAUUUUUUUUUUUAUUCCAAUAAAAUGGUUAACAAUA